rnacentral:rRNA from 1 species
AGCGAACGCUGGCGGCAGGCCUAACACAUGCAAGUCGAACGAACCUUUCGGGGUUAGUGGCGGACGGGUGAGUAACACGUGGGAACGUGCCUUUAGGUUCGGAAUAACUCAGGGAAACUUGUGCUAAUACCGAAUGUGCCCUUCGGGGGAAAGAUUUAUCGCCUUUCGAGCGGCCCGCGUCUGAUUAGCUAGUUGGUUGAGGUAAUGGCUCACCAAGGCGACGAUCAGUAGCUGGUCUGAGAGGAUGAUCAGCCACAUUGGGACUGAGACACGGCCCAAACUCCUACGGGGGGCAGCAGUGGGGAAUCUUGCGCAAUGGGCGAAAGCCUGACGCAGCCAUGCCGCGUGAAUGAUGAAGGUCUUAGGAUUGUAAAAUUCUUUCACCGGGGACGAUAAUGACGGUACCCGGAGAAGAAGCCCCGGCUAACUUCGUG